GACGAACGCUGGCGGCGUGCCUAAUACAUGCAAGUAGAACGCUGAAGGAGGAGCUUGCUUCUCUGGAUGAGUUGCGAACGGGUGAGUAACGCGUAGGUAACCUGCCUGGUAGCGGGGGAUAACUAUUGGAAACGAUAGCUAGUACCGCAUAAGAGUAGAUGUUGCAUGACAUUUGCUUAAAAGGUGCAAUUGCAUCACUACUAGAUGGACCUGCGUUGUAUUAGCUAGUUGGUGGGGUAACGGCUCAACAAAGCGACGAUAAAUAGCCGACCUGAGAGGGUGGUCGGCCAAACUGGGAAUGAGACACGGCCCAGACUCCUACGGGGAGCAGCAAGAGGGAAACUUCGGCAAUGGACGGAAAGCUGACCGAGCAACGCCGCGGGAGUGAAGAAGGUUUUCGGAUCGGAAAGCUCUUUUGUAAGAGAAGAACGAGUGUUGGAGUUGAAAGUUCACACUGUGACGGUAGCUUACCAGAAAGGGACGGCUAACUACGUG
rnacentral:rRNA from 1 species